GCCGGGCAUGGUGGUGCGUGCCUGUAGUCCCAGCUACUCGAGAGGCUGAGGCAGGAGAAUCACUUGAGCCCAGGAGAUGGAGGUUGCAGUGAGCUGAGAUCAUGCCACUGCACUCCAACUUGGGCAACAGAGUGAGACUUUGUCUCAA
rfam:Pan troglodytes isolate Yerkes chimp pedigree #C0471 (Clint) chromosome 5, whole genome shotgun sequence.